rnacentral:rRNA from 1 species
GGCCCCUAAUCGGGGUUGCGGACAGUGUCUGGUGGGUAGUUUGACUGGGGCGGUCUCCUCCUAAAGAGUAACGGAGGAGCACGAAGGUUGGCUAAUCCUGGUCGGACAUCAGGAGGUUAGUGCAAUGGCAUAAGCCAGCUUGACUGCGAGCGUGACGGCGCGAGCAGGUGCGAAAGCAGGUCAUAGUGAUCCGGUGGUUCUGAAUGGAAGGGCCAUCGCUCAACGGAUAAAAGGUACUCCGGGGAUAACAGGCUGAUACCGCCCAAGAGUUCAUAUCGACGGCGGUGUUUGGCACCUCGAUGUCGGCUCAUCACAUCCUGGGGCUGAAGUAGGUCCCAAGGGUAUGGCUGUUCGCCAUUUAAAGUGGUACGCGAGCUGGGUUUAGAACGUCGUGAGACAGUUCGGUCCCUAUCUGCCGUGGGCGCUGGAGAACUGAGGGGGGCUGCUCCUAGUACGAGAGGACCGGAGUGGACGCAUCACUGGUGUUCGGGUUGUCAUGCCAAUGGCACUGCCCGGUAGCUAAAUGCGGAAGAGAUAAGUGCUGAAAGCAUCUAAGCACGAAACUUGCCCCGAGAUGAGUUCUCCCUGACUCCUUGAGAGUCCUGAAGGAACGUUGAAGACGACGACGUUGAUAGGCCGGGUGUGUAAGCGCAGCGAUGCGUUGAGCUAACCGGUACUAAUGAACCGUGAGGCUUAACCUUACAACGCCGAAG